UGGAGCUCAGUGGUAGAGUACCUGCUUAGCAUGUAGGUGAUCCUGGGUUCCGUUCCCAGCA
rnacentral:tRNA from 1 species